ACUUUUUUUUUUUUUUUUUUUUUUUGGGUGGGGGCGGCCUUGGUGAUUCCCUUUCUUCUAGAGUUAGCUACUUGUUUCUAAACUAUAAGCAAUACUAUGCUAUAGCUUGGGGAUUGUUCAUUAAUUUGUCAGAUAAUUAAGGAAUAAUAAUUAGUUUAUGAAACUGGCAUGGCUACCACUGAGUCUCAUGUUCAAUUUUAGGAAAAACGUUCAAACUUCAAACUAGUGCUGUAAAAAUUUGGUUAUACUAAUUACUAGAUCUUGAGUUUUUCUCUGAGGGCCUUUUGAGAAUUUUGACUGCCAUGAAAUAGAAGAGAAGGAAAGCAACGAGGAAAAUGAUGAUGAAGCUAGCAAUAUCAAGUUUCUAAUUGGGCAGACCAAAUAAUUAGUUUUCGUUCUUAACACAAAUUUAUUUUGUCAAUUUUUUAAAUUAAUUUUUUUAUUAGUUGAAGGGUCAAAAUUGAGGUCUCACAAAUUAUCAGUCCUCGAUUCAAGUUGCAGUCUAAAUGAAAGUUUUCUAACUAUAUACUUUUAGUAACAUUUAUUCUGUCAUUUGUGAGAUAAUUUAUACUAUUAUUGUCGAGUUGCAAUUAGUUUGUUUUACUUUGUUAUAGUUUGCUUGUAAUUUUAUUAGAAGAAAAAAUUUUGGCAUUUAUUAUUUCAAGAGCAUUUAUGAAUUGGUCAAUAUUCAAUAGCUAUUUGUCUCUAGUGCACCUUCUUAAUUUGUUGAUUUAACAGUGAAAAUGUUCCCGUGUUAUUUCAUCUUUUGGAUCAUCAAGAAAGCCAGCCUAUCACGGUCUUUCCAUCUUUCAUGGUGUAAAGGAGAUAAUUAACAAUUUACCUAGCUAUUUGAUAUUUUUUGGGGGGGGGGGGGGGGGGAAUAAAAUAAACCAAGACCAAGCAAAAGGUCUGAUUUCAGCCGAUGUGAUAUCCAAGCAAAAGGUUCUUAAAUAAAGAGGACAUGGUCGGUGGAGGAUCAUUACUCAUCACCGUUAUUCAUAUUUUAUUUCCUGGGUUGUGUUACUCCAAUAAUUAAGUAUCAUCAUGGUGGUGAUUUGCACCAACUGUCGACUGAUCAAGCAUACCUUCAUUACUUUAAUCGAUUUGUCUUGUUUUUUGAGAAAAUUUUGUGAUUUAUCGAACAUAAAAUACUAUUUAAAUUUGAAUUAAGUAAUUAGUGAAUCAUGCUUGAACGAGCUUUUAUCAAGUUCAAUUCAAUUCGAAUAUCUAAUAGAUUGGUUCAUGUUUUAGUCUAAAAAUAAGUUAAAAAAAACGAAAGUAUACAGGAAAACUAAUGAAGGGGUGUUGUGUAUUAGAAAACAGCCUAUGAUUCUGUGAUUUGUGGUCGUGUUGCCCCUAUAAGUGCCCUAUACCUCUUAAAAACCCCACCAAAAUUUUCCAAUCGCGGAACUUACUUCACCUUGUAAAACUAUAAUUGAGUAGCUUUUUAUUUACUUAGUAUUUAGUACUAAAUCAUAGGAGUCUAGAUAAGGUUGUCAACGGAUCGGGUUUGGAUCCACACUCGGCCCAGAUCCAGUAAUUUAUUCUGCGUAUGGGUUGAGAAAUAAUUUCGGCACUCAAACUCGGACCCGUACCCGUUUACGCUAACAAAGAAGCAGGUCAGAUACGGAAUAUAGGAUUUCGACCCGUAUCCGACCCAGACUUGAACAAUACAUUAAUAAUUAUAAAAUAUAAAUAUUUCUAAAUACAUUCUUUUACUAAAUUAACAAAAAAUAUUAUUUUACCAAAUUAAUCAAAUUACCCGUAUCCCAGAUGAAGCAUCUAAGAAAUUAGGAUUUGAAAGAUACAAACUUGUUUAACCAGAAAUGCAUUCAUCACAGUUGCAUAUAAGUGCUUUUUGCUAAACAUCCUGGGAUCAUGUUGGGCCUUUUUGCUAACAUGGAUAGAAGAAGAUGAAUGAUACAUAUUGGGCCUUUUUCUUUCCUGGUGACACAGGCCCGACCCGAGACCCAUCAAAUCCGGUUCCAAAAUUUUAAGCACAAGACAUGUAUGGUAUAUGGAUUGGGUCUGAGUCUAGUAUAUUAAAAUCGGUCCGGUCCAGAAUUUUUAAUUCCAACCCAAACUCAACUCGUUGACAGGCCUAAGUCUAGACAUUUAGUGGUGGAGUUAGGACCGAGUCUCAAUGAGAACAAAAUUGGAUAAGAUUGUACACUUAAAAUGAAAUUUUAAAAAAUACUUUUUUUUUUGUAUAUAUUGAUAAUUAACUGCAAUUGAGCUGAGAAUAUACAAUGAAAUUCAACAAGGGCAUUCAUGAUCAUGAGGUAACGUGAGAUUAGUUUUGAGUUUGAUUUGAUUAAUUUGCCAUUCGAACCUAGUAAUUUUAUUCAUGCUUCUAUACAACCAAUUAAUUAUUGAGGAAUUACUAUAUGUAAUUUUAACUUGUUCUAUAGGAUUGCACAUGUAUUAGGGUCAAUUUCCUCAUCAACAUUUCUUGUGCUUCGUUGUUAUGGUUUUAAUUUGAUAGUAGCUAGCUCAGUAAUUCCUUUGAGGUUAUAUGUUCCAAUACUUGACACUUUUAUUUAUUGAUAAAUUAUAUUGGAGUGCGAAUGUGGAGAUUCGAUCGAAUGGGGAACCUUUUAAGUCAAAUUCCUUCCCUACUUUACUAAAAUCAACUAAAUAAUUUAUUCAUUUAUUCAUUUUGCAAAACUCUUCAAACAAUAUAGUACAAUUUAGUGAAGUAGCGAUGCCUUUUCUAUCAGAAAUACCCUUACAUGCAUUUUUUUUUUUUGUGCACAAUGGUGCGUAUAAGAGUUGUCUGGUUUUAUGUGAACACGGUGCUUAGGCCCAAGUUGACGGACUGGAAAUUUUUUUUCCAAAAAGUGACGGAUCAAAGUAUUCAAGUGCAAGAUUUGAUUUUUUUUCCCCUAUUGUGUUCGAAUUGUGACUAGUUGGAAUAGAAUUGACUAAAUUGGCAAAAAUAUAGAAAAAAUAGUGAAGAAUCUCAAGCUUGACCCUACCAUGAUGCGUGACAAGUCAAAGACGAGCUCCAAUUUUAAGAUUCGUGGCUUAAUUUUUUUUUUAUAGAGGGGUAAUAACGUGGUAAUGUUAAAAAGUCAUAUUCGUUCAUUUUCUAUAUUCGAAGGAUGACUCUCCUAAUCUAAACAAACAAAUGGACUAAAUGAUCUAUGCGAAAUGCAAGUAUAAAUGAUAUGAUACAAACAUAUAGAGGGAAGGGAAUAAUAGUAGGGGAAAUAUCAUGCAAAUAAAAACAACCAGCACAAUUUGAUUGCAUCACUGCUCUAAUAUCAAGUUAAACUGGCACUAGAAAUGACAGUUUAAUUAUCCUUUCUCAAACAAGAUCCACCGUAAGCAAUUGGAAUCAAAUGGAUAUCAAUUUUUGGUCUGAUUGUCACACCAAGGUUCUCAGUCAUGUCAAAUUCUUCUGGCUUAAGUUCACCAGGGAGCUUCCAAUCAAAAUGGAACAACAACUGUGCAAGUGCCAACUCGAUCACUGCUUGAGAAAAUGAUAUGCCGGGACAAAUCCUUCUUCCAGCGCCAAAUGGGAUGUACUCAAAAUUAUUCCCUCUGUAAUCAAUUUCCGAAUCAAGAAAUCGCGAAGGAUUAAAUUUCUCUGCUUCAAUCCAAUAUUUGGGAUCUCUUCCGAUUGCCCAUGCAUUAACGAUUAUGUCUGCCUUGGCUGGUAUGUCAUAACCAUUGAUUUCGCAUUGCUGACCACAUUCUCUUGGCAACAAUAGUGGAGCACUUGGGUGAAGCCUCAGAGUUUCUUUAAUGAUUGCAUGCAAGUAUUUGAGCUCAUGAAGGCGUGAUUCAUCAACAUUCCCUUUGUCAUUGUAUAUACUUCUCACCUCAUGUUGUGCCCUUUUCAUAAUUUCCGGAUUUUUAAUCAUUUCACCAAUUGCCCACUCCAUGGCUGUUGAUGAAGUCUCGCUGCCAGCACUGAAAAUAUCCUGAAACAUACAGAGAGACGCAUAUCCAUGAAGUUUACAACUUCUACUUUCAAAUCUCUCGGUUAAUUGAUCAUCUGCUGCUUGACUCAAAUAAAUUGAAAGCAAUAUAUGAAUAUUUUACUCUUACGAAAAGCCAAAAAAGGGUAAACGACAGAAUGAUUUUUAUACUGAGAGGUAAAAGUCAAUGGGGUUGAACUUUUUGUCUCUUUUCGUUUGCCUGUUUGGCAUGAAUUGGGGUUUGAUUCCGGAUUUUCCUUUCAAUAGUUUGGUUAGGGCACAAACAAUUAGUUUAUCGUAAAAUGGGGCCAUUUGAGUCUUGUUAAAUCCUGUAUUAAUAGUAUAUUGUUUACUCAUAAUUGACCAUAUAGUUUUAGGAUACUCACAGGCUCGCGUUGGAUAUAGGCCUAUCCCAACAAUUUUAAAACCCUAUUUAAUAAUUUAAUUCAAUACUUAAAUUCAAUAAGUUCAGAUUUUAAUAUAUUUUGAUAACCAAACUAGAAUAUCUGAUUUCAUUAAAUAGCAAUGAAUUUUCUAAGCAAAAUUUGCUCCAAAAAAUAAGUAAUAAACUGUUCACUUAUCACUUAAUGUGAUAUAUACUCAAAUGUAUCAAAUUUAGUAUUUAACAAUUCACUAACUUAAUAAAUUUAGAUUUCAGUUUUAUUAAACGCAACCCAAGCUUACUACUUUGUGAAAUCAUUUGGUGCUGAUUAGUUUCUUUAGCAAAGUCAGAAGCCCACUUUGAUGUUUUUUUCCCCUUUCUUUUCCUUUUCUGGAUUGUUCAUUAAUUUGUCAGCUAGUUAAGGAGUAAUAAUUAGUUUACGAAACUGGCUACCACUAAGUCUCAUGUUCUAUUUUAGGAAAAACGUUCAAACUUCAAACGAGUGCUGUCAAAAUUUGGUUAUACUAAUUACUAGAUCUCAACUCAUUACAAUUCGCAAUCAACAAAAAGUAAACAAAACUAGAUGCAGUUAGUUGAGGUUAAUUGAAUCCUAAUUACAGAUUUUUUUUUUUCUGUCUGAGUUGCAAAGCUUAAAAGAAUAGUAGUGAGUUUUACUUACAAGGAUAACUGCUCUGACGUUUGUAUCAGUUAGCUGAGGUUCAAAGUCCCCACGUUUCUGAAUUUUGAGAAGAACAUCAACAAGAUCAUCCUCCUUGCCUUCUCCGCCUUCCUGUUUUGCCGACUCUUGCAUUUUCCCUUUAUGCUCAUUGAUAAUACUUUCAAGUAUUCCAUUAACUUGCCUGUGUACUUUCUCAAUCCUAAGUCUAGAUAUGCUCAUCAACUCAAGCAACUUGACUGAAGGAAACAUGUCAGCUAAACUGAACUCUGAUGACAGUUUAUUGAGUUCAUCCUGAGUUUCUUUGAAUCUUUCUGUGUCUUUGUUCCUUUUCCCAAAUGCUGCGCGGCUCGUGAUGCUGUAACUGAGAGAGGCAACGGUUCUGCUUAGAUUGAUAGUCGACCCCUUCUGAGAAGAAAUCGAUUUAAUGAGACUGAAGACUUCAUCUUCUCUAAUUGCUUUGAAAGUUUGCACGCGUUUUGGACUGAGAAGUUCCAUGGUGCAGAUUUUGCGUAAUUCUCUCCAAUAUUUUCCGUAGGGAGAAAAGAUCAAAUCAGCAUAAUUAAAAGAAAAAAUCUUGAAUAGGAGACCAUGAGAGGGUCUCGAGGCAAAGAUGAUGUCGUUUGUUUUAUAGAUCUCCUUGGCCAGUUCUGGGGAAGUGACGAUGAUGGUUGGAGUUUCACCAAUCUUUAGGUGCAUCAAUGGUCCAUAAAUAUUGGCCAAGUCUCUGAGCAAGUGAUGGAUCUGGGAACCAAAGAGUUGAUGAAUGUUUCCUAUGAUAGGCAGUGGGUUAGGCCCUGGGGGAAGCCUUAAUCUUGAGUUUUUCUCUGAGGGCCUUUUGAGAAUUUUGACUGCCAUGAAAUAGAAAAGAAGGAAGGCAAUGAGGAAAAGGACAACCUCCAUUGAAGACUGAAGCCAGAAAUGUGGAACUUGGGUGUUAUUUGCUUACUGAAGCAUAAUAUUGAUUUUUAUAGAUGCUGAUGAAGCUAUCUGCACCACGUAUUUAGUUGAGUAUUCCCUAUCUGCACCUACAAAAGCACACAAAAUAGACCCCAAAAAUUUAUAUAUAUAAAAAAAAAGAAGCAGUCAUGCGUGGUUAAAAUACUCGUGUACCCUAUCUUAAACAAUAAAAUAGAAACUCAUUUCGUUUAAAUAAUAAAAGUGAAAUUCACUCGUCAUUAGAAAAAUCCUCUGUUGAAUAAGCAUAAUUUGCCUUGGGUUAGCGUAACGUCUCUCCAAAGGCUCACAAAACCCAAAACCGCCACGAAAUAGCCCACCCCACCCACAACCCGCCCCUCCUCACUCCUCCUUACCAUUGUAGUACCAAGUUUCCAUGCCCCCAAAUCUCACCUUUCACCAACUCUCCUUCUACCCCUCUCUCUCUCUCUGUCUCACUCCAAGAAACGUCACUGUGUUUGCUGGAAAAAUUACCCCUUUUUUUCAUUUUCCAUAGCUUUCUUGGUCUAGAUUAGCAAAAGAACCUGCAUUGUAUCAGCUCAUCUCUGCAGAAAUCUUGAGAAAAUGUGGCAUCUUGCAAAAACCCAUUGUGGGAUUUUGAGUUAUGCUGGGAUUUCGUGAUCUUCUUACAGGGUUUUUGUGCCAUGGAGAAGCAAAAUAGGCUUGUCGAUAAGUCACAUUUUGGUGUGAAAAGACAAUGUGAAGGGUGAAAGUUUGAGUAUCUGGUGUCUGAACUGUGUGUAUAUGUUUGUGUGUGAUGAUGGUGGCUGCUGUUUCUGGUGGAGGAGGAGCAGCUUCAACAACUGGCCCACAAAACCCCAAAACAAUUUCUCGAGAUGAGACUCAAACUCACCAAAGAAGACCUCCACUGCUGCCUUCUGAGAAGGAUAAUAAUGGUAUUGACAACCCAAAAAGGCCUAAAUCAAGAGUUGUUUCUUCAAGGUACAUGUCCUCUUCUCCUUCCACUUCUUCAAGGUAGUAUUAUUGUCGAGUUGUAAUUAGUUUGUUUUAGUUUGCUUGUAAUUCUAUUAGAAGAAAAAAAAUUUGGCAUUUAUAAUUUCAAGAGCAUAUAUGAACUGGUCAACAUUCAAUAGCUCUUUGUCUCUAGUGCACCUCCUUAAUUUGGUGAUUUAACAAUGGAAAUGUCCACGUGUCAUUUCAUCUUUAGGACCGUCAAGAAGCCAGCCUAUUAUAUUCUUUCCAUCUUUUAUGGUGCAAAGGAGUUAAUUAACAAUUUGCCUGGAAACUUGAUAUGCGAAUUGGUGUAUCCAAGGGGAUUAAAAAACCAAGACCAAGCAAAUUACAGAUCUGAUUUCAGCGGAUGUGAUAUCCAAGCAAAAGGUUCUUAAAUAAAGAGGGCAUGGAGGGUGGAGCCGUGGAGGGUCACUCAUCACGGUUAUUCAUAUUUUAUUUCCGGGUUGUGUUUCUCCAAUAAUUUAAGUGGAUUUAACUUAGUUUAAGUGUGUUAAAGACACUAACCCAAGUGUCAUAUAGACCAGUUUAAGAGAGUUUUAGGGAGCCCACACCCCAGAAUAAGAGAGGAGUUUUGGUUAGACAUCAAAUCAAAAGAGCAAGUCAUGAGUUUUUGGGUCAUUAAGUAUUUAGUGCUAUUUAGAAUCUUUUGUGUUUUUAGUUUUAAGUGCCUUUUGAGUUUAGAAAUUAUUUUUUGGUUCUUGUAUUCUCUCCUUUGUACUUUUUUUCUUAUUAUAGUAAAUCUACUACUCCUUCACCCGUGGACACGUAGAUCAGUUUGAUCGAAUCACAUAAAUUUGAUAUUUUUCUCUGUUUGAUUUAUUUGUUCUAUUAUUGUUAUUAUUGAAUUGCCAAUAACCCCUAUUAUUCUCGUUUAUCGAUUUUCUGGGACACGACCUAACAGGUUUUGAUUUUAUUGACAAAUUCCGAUGCGUUGGCAACGUGGGUAUUAUGUAAUCUUCUAUGGGUGAGGAGAUUCCUUUCUGCAGGCAAGGCAUCUAUUGUUCUUGUUUUUUGCGAGGCAAACUCUGCUUCUGAUAAACUUGCAGCGCUUGAUUUACGUACAAUUUUUUUCUUCAGUUUUUGAGCUGCCGCUGGCUGUAAAGGCAGCUUCGUUUCUAGAUAGUUUGCAGGUACCUUUUACUAGGGCAUAUAAUGUAAAGGAGCACUGCUCCUUAUUUAUUUUUAUUUUUAUUUUAUUAUUAUUAUUUGUUGCAUUCUGAUGAGGUCAGGCCUAGCCCUACUCAUGCUUGUACCUUUCUUUGGUGUUUAAUAAAAUUUGGACUGACAUUCUACUCCAUAUAUGGGGGUUUGCUAAAAAAUAAUAAUAAUAAAACCAUACCCCAUUACUUUAAUCGAUUUGUCCUAUUUUCAAGAAAAUUUUAUGAUUUAUCGAACAUAAAAUACUAUUUAAAUUUGGCUUGACUAGUUAAUGGAUUAUACAUGAACGAAUUCUUAUCAAAUCGAACUCAAUUCGAGUAUCGAAUAGAUUAGUUCAUCUGUCGAUUCUAAAAAUAAGUGAAAAAAAAGAAAGAAUACAAGAAAACUAAUGAAGAGGUAGUGUCUAAUAGAAAAUGGCCUAUGAUUCCGUCGUUUGUGGUCGCGUCUCCCCUACAGCUACUCCAUACCUCUUUAAAACCCCACCAAAAUUUUCUAAUCGUGCGACCUCACCUUGCAAAACUCUAGAGUGUGUUUGGGUAGGAGAUUAUUUGGGAUAAUUUUUUUUAAAAAAAUACUAUAAUACUUUUUAAAUGUGAUAUAUGUGAGAUAAAAAGAUAAUGUAGCAUUUUAUUUGCUGUAUUUAGUACUGCAUCAUGGGAGUCUAGAAGCGUAGUGCCGCAUUCAACGGUGGAGUCAGGACCAAGUGUCAGUGCGAAAGGAAUUGGACAAGAUUGUAUACUUAAAAUCAAAUUUAAAAAAAUUCUUUUUUAGAUUUUUGUUCUACUUCCUAUAAUUUUUUCUUAUUCAAGUAGUAACUAAAUAUAUCUCAAUUAGUAAUAGUUUUGAAACGAUUGGACCACAGAAGGGAUAUUUCAAAGAAAGAAAUUAGUUGUUUAGAGGUGACUAGUUUUCAAAUUAUAAGAGGUUAAUAUCAAGAGAUAAGGAUACUUUUGAAAAUUGAGGGGAGACAAGAUCUAAAUUUUUACAAAAUUUUCAAGCCCAUUUUGUGACUUUUUGCAAAGUUGAUUAACCCACUCUCACAUCAAGGUGGCUUCGUACCUUCCUGACCGUGGAUCCAACUUACCCCCGCACAAAUUAGGCACGAUGAACAUUAACAAAAAUCUGAAGCAGUCUCAUUAUCCAUGCCUUCUCCUUUCACAUCUCCUGUUAAAUUGCUUCAAACUCAUAUAUCAAAUUGAGAUUUGACAAACUAGAAUUAGAAAUUUCAAAUCUGGCAAACGAAUCUGAAAAGAUUGAAAAUUGACAAUCAGUACUCUAAAGAAUUGACAAUUGACAAUUGACAAAGACUAAAGAACCAAAUGACAACGGUGACAAUCGGUACUCUAACCAGAUCUUUUUAUGGUUUUAUUGGUUUAGGAGGGCCUUUUUAUAAACUAGGAAACAAUGGCGACAAUUAAAUUAAUUCAUGCUCAAUAAUCAGAUGAUAUUUUGGGAGUAGAGAAGCGUGACAAAUGUUCAGGCCGAAAACUCUUUUUUCCUUCUUACGUAAAUUCAGGCACCAAAAUUCUUUGAUGUUCGUGUCACUCCAUUGUUUCUCUCCUCGCCUACUCUGUCUCUUUUGAGUUUUUUUCCACUGCUCAAUCUGUUUGUUCUCUCUCUCUCUAAUGCAUUUCAUCAACCUGUUUCAGUCAAGGAUAUCUUUGCAAAGAAUAUCUGUCUUCUUCAAGAAAAGGCUGGAAACUAAGAAUGGAGGCCAUAAAUCGUCAUUCUUUGAUCGGUCUAAAAGGAAAUACCACUUUUCUGCAUAAGAAACAAAAUGAGAGAUGUAACUUAUACGAUGGCAGAUGUGAUCCGAUUUACGUUUCUUUUUCUGUAAAUAAAUUGCACACAUAAAAAAAAGGAAAAACUGAGAUUAAAAGUAUCACUAACAGAACAGUAAUGUCUUAGUAAAGUUCAUGGAGUAUGCCAAACAUCACCGCAACGGAUCUUCUGUCCCACACCCUAUGCCAUUCUUACAACGGGACUUCACACUUAAGUUAUGUUAUAGGAAAAAAGAUUCUUGCAUUUUUCCCUCUUGUUGAAAAAGCAUCUAUUUUUCCACGCAUUUCUCAAAAUACGUCAAUUGAUACACGCAAGAAAUAGGCCAAUUCAGCAGCCUUUUGUUCAAUUUCUCGUGGAGUCAAAUUUUCAUCGGUACGAGUUAAGGGAAUGGUCCCCUGGCCUCGAAUUUCCAUAUAAAGGACACGGCGUGCAAAAAUACCCUCUUUAACUUCUAUUCGAAUGGACUGAAUAUCUUUUAUAAGGAAUUGGAGGAAUAUGCGACGAUUUUUUCCAGGAAAUCCUCAACGAAAAAUACACACUAUGCCUUCCUUUCUAUCGAAUCGAUCAUAAUCAUUGCCUACAUUCCAGGAAAUUGUUCACCACAAAUAGGAGCUAAUAAAGAGACCUGCGAUUCCGUAGAAAGACAUGACGAUCCCUUGUGGAAAAAAAAAAACGAUUUGUUGAGACGGAAAAAAAGAUAUCAAAUUUCCACCAAGAUAACUGGAAAUUCCAACCAAUAAGAAUCCUACUGAACCUACAAAAAGGAUAAAGGCCCAACAAAAAUUACUUAUUUUUCGAGACCCCUUUAUAAGUUUUAUCCAUAUAUGCUCUGAUUGCAAACUCAUACUUGAUCCGAUUACAUUUUAUUAGAAUUGAGAGAAUACUUCAAAUUUUUUUGACUUUACUUUUUUUGUUUCCGAAGUAACUCUCAUCAACUAGCACUAGUUUGGUUAAAUAAAUACAACAGCUUCAAAAAAGCAAUAUAUAUAUAGUAGAAAAUUAAAAAAUACAGCAAAAUUCAUAAAAAAUCUCAUUUUAUAUCAAUUUUGAUUUUUUGAGUUUGUUAAUUUUUUUGUAAUACUCAGUAAAUAGUUAUUGGAUCUUAAAGAAACAAAAAAGAACUAAAACAUGAUAUUUACGUAGGAGAAAUUGCAAUAUAAUAAAAAGUGGGACAGAAAAUGGCAUAGGGUGUAGGACAGAAGAUCCGGCUCCGUUGGCAAGCACUGUGAAGUGAGGCAGGUGCAUGGCAGAUUUUAGAGUACAGAAAGUAAUAAAGUUCAUAAAAUCUUUAUUUUAGGUACAUAAUCAAGGUAAAAUUAUAAAGUAGUAUCAUAGACGGGAUGACAAGUAUUAGCAUAAUUUAGGCAUCCCUGUAAAGCCUAGUCAUCCUUUAUUAAACAAGAACCAAGAUAAGGAAUUGGAAUCAAGUGGAGAUCAUUUUUUCUCCUAAUUGUCACGCCAAGGUUAUCAGCCAUGUCUAGUUCUUCUGGUUUCAGGUCACCAGGGAGCUUCCAAUCAAAGUGGAACAACAGUUGUGCAAGUACCAGCUGAACUACCGCUUGAGAAAAUGAUAUGCCUGGACAAAUCCUUCUUCCAGCACCAAAUGGGAUGUAUUCAAAGUUAUUGCUUUUAUAAUCAAUUUUAGAAUCAAGAAAUCGCGAAGGAUUGAAUUUCUCAGCUUCACUCCAGUAUAAUGGAUCUCUACCAAUUGCCCAUGCAUUCACAAUUACUUGUGCCUUGGCUGGUAUGUCAUAACCAUUGAUUCUGCAUUCUUCAGUGCAUUCUCUUGGCAACAAAAGUGGAGCAUUUGGAUGUAGUCUCAAGGUCUCUUUGAUGAUUGCGUGCAAAUAUUCGAGCUCAUGAAGGCGUGAUUCAUCAACAAUUCCUUUGUCAUUAUAUAAACUUCUUACCUCACAUUGUGCCCUGUUUAUUAUUUCUGGGUUUUUAACCAUUUCAGAAAUUGCCCACUCGAUGGCUGUUGAUGUAGUCUCACUGCCAGCACUGAAAACAUCCUGAAACAUGAAUAGGAACGUAUAUCAAUGAAAAUUAUACUUGUUUUUUCUUUCAGAUAUCUAAAUUAAUUCAUCGUCUGAUGUUUGACCAAAAUAACUUCAAAUUAAGUGGCGUUGGAUUAUUUUGAAUUGCUUAAUUUGGAAAAAAAAAAAAGAAGAAAUCUCGGAUGUUCUCUUGCACCAAAAUCGAGCGUAAUUACAGACCAUAUAUUUGGUCUGAUAGCCAACUUAGUCGUAUGAGCUGAUAAGGUUAAAUUUACAUCCAAGUUGUAUAUAUACGUUUAUACCAAAAGGCAUAAUUAUUACAUGAACUGAUUUGAAUUGAAUAGAAUUCAACUUUGAGACUGCUGCUAAUCUGUAUAACAAUCAUUCUAUCAUAACAGAACUAAAUUUAGUACCAAGAAAUAGGACCAAUUUGUCGGCUAGCUAAGAAAAUCAUAAUUUUGUUCACAUAACCCGCCACUGUUAAGUCUCAUGUUCAAUCCUAGGGAAGAGGUUCAAACUUGAAACUAAUACUGUCAAAAUUUGUUUAUUAAAGGGUGUCUCAACUCGCUAAAAGGUUAUCAGAUCCCAAAUCAUCACCAUCCCCAAAAUUGAACAGAUAAAUCAAUAAUAUACACGUUUUGUCCCUUUAAUCCUAGAAACAAUUACAAAAUUUUGUCAAGGUGCAAAGCUUAAAAACCUAGCGAGUUUGAGUUUCGCUUACCAGGAUAACAGCUUUGAUGUUUGUAUCAGUUAGUUGAGGCUCGAAGUCACCACGUUUCUGAAUAUUGAGAAGAACAUCGACAAGAUCCUCCUUGCCUUCUUCACCUUCCUGUUUUGAUUCUUGGAUUUUCCCUUUAUGCUCCUCGAGAAUAUUUUCAAGUAUUUCGUCUACUUGCUUGUGUAUUUUCUCAUAACUUGACCUAACUGUACUUGUCAAUUGAAGAAACUUGACUGAAGGAUACAUGUCUGCUAAGCAGAACAAAGAUGCCAGCCCAUUGAGUUCAUCGACAAAGUGCAAGAAUCUUUCUAUGUCUUUGUUUCUUUUCCCAAAGGCUGCCAGGCUUGUGAUGCUAUAAGUGAGAGAGAAAAUCCUUCUGCUUAGAUUGAUACUCGAUCCCUUUUGCAAAGAGAUCGAUUUGAUGAGAUCAAAAACUUCAUCUUCCCUAAUUGCUUUGAAAGUUUGCACCCGUUUUGGACUAAGAACUUCCAUGGUGCAAAUCUUCCGAAGUUGCCUCCAAUAAUUUCCAUAGGGAGAAAAGAUAAUAUCGUUAUGAUUGUAGGAAAAAAUCUUGAAUGUGACACGAUGAGAGGGUCUUGAAGCAAAUAUGACAUCGUUUGUUCUAUAAAUCUCUUUGGCCAUUUCAGGGGAUGUGACAAUGAUGGUAGGAGUUUCACCAAGCUUUAGGUGCAUCAACGGUCCAUAUUUUUUGGCCAAGUCUCUGAGCAAGUGAUGGAAUGGGGAGCCAAAAAGUUGAUGCAUAUUUCCUAUGAUAGGCAGUGGAUUAGGCCCCGGGGGAAGCCUCAAUCUUGAGUUUUUUCCCGAGGAGCUUUUAAGAAUUUUGGCUACCAUGAAAUAGAAGAGUAGGAAAGCCAAAAGGAAAAGAAUGACCUCCAUUGCAGGCUGGAUGGAGAAAACUGCAAUGGGAUGUUGUUUGCUUAGCGAAGUGUCUAUUUUUAUACUACAAUUUGGUAGGCAAAGACAAUUGGAACUCCUAAUUUAGCAAAGUCAAAUGUUUUUCAACUGAUAUUACUUGCAAGCCAAGUAUUGGCGGCUUAGAAUUACCAGAUAACUGGAGUUCCAUUUUUAGCAAAAUCAAGUCAAUGUUUUCUGACUGAUAUUACUUGCAAGCCAAGUAUUGACUGGGGAUUUUCAAUGGCUCUUGUGAUUCGCUCUUUCAGACACUAGGGUGUUAUAUGUAAAUAUUCACAUCUAGUAAUAGGAUUUAAAGACUGCUAUACAUUGGUAAUUAAGUUUAAAAAUUAAUUGAGAAGAUUGUUUUUUACUUUUUAUGUGAGAAGAUUGUUUUUUCCUUUUUAUGUCACAGCACCCAUAUCAAGUGGCAAUGUCUUAGCCAGCAAAGCAAUGGAAAUGCAUCCAAUUGAUUAACUUCAACGCCACCCAUCCCACUGGAAAGAGUUGGUAACAAGUUAAAAUAAAUGGGCUCUAAAUAAAUAAUUGAAUUAUUUGACUCAAUUUUUGAUUAAUUCAUUUAUUCAUUUAUACAUUUUGAAUUAAAUAGGUAUAAAUGAAUUGAUCCAAUGAUAUUCAUUAUCCAAUUCUUCAAUCCAUCAAAAAAGCUAGCUUAAGGAACAGAUAAUUAUGCUAUCAUUGGUAGUAUAAAGUACAUGCAGUAAAAGCUUGUCUGGAAACUUGAUAUGUGAAUCGUUACUUGAAUAUUAGGGGGGAAAAAACCAAGAGCAAGCAAAUUAGUGCAUCCGCCCUCUUGGGCAUGCAGCUCGUUUGGUCACGGAAGCUCCUUAACGAUCGUUGUACAUCUCUCCCAUCAGGGAUCGAGUCCCAGGGCUAACGUGCUCGAGGAGACGGAGCCUCUCCUCUCGGGCCAGGGGAUUAGUCCGGUUCGGUUUAUCCUGAUGACCCGGAUACCCCUCCGUCUAGAAAAAAAAAAAAAGCAAAUUAGUGCAUCCAUUUGUUAGCAAACCAAUCUGAUUUUAGCCUAGUUAUAUUAUAUCCACGCAACGCAACAGGUUCUUCUUUUACAAUAUCAGGUUAUAGUAGGUAAAUUUUUCAUAAUUGAUCCUGUUAUUCAUGUUUUAUUUUUUAAAUUAGAUUGAGGACUCAAAUAAUUAUGUAUUUUCACGGUGGUGAUGGUGUACCAAAUAAUCAAGAAUUGCCCAUAUACUUAAAGAAGCAAUCCCAUUUUGUCUAUUAAGAUUUAAGGGCCACUGCAUAUUGUCAUUUAACAGCAUCGACAUGCUAUUGUUAUAACUUCAUUAGUUUUUCGAUUUGCACCAUUCACCAAGAAAAGUUUGUAUGAUCCUCUCUAGGUGCUGCAUUUGCAGCUAUAGCCUUCCUGACUGUGUACCCAUCUUACCCUUACCAAAAUUAAGCACAAUGAAACAUUAACAAAAAUCUAAAUUAGUCUGAUUCUCCACAAGCAAAUCCCGUUUAUAUUUAAAUCAUUGCUUUGGAUUUACAAUGAAUAACAUAUUGGAGUUUAAGCUAAAAAAAAUGUUUGUAUUAAUUAUUUUAUUGUCUAUAAAAUGAAUCUAUAUGGUUUUUUUAAUGGAUAAGAGAAUUUUUAAAUUUUAAGAAGAAAAUCAAAAUAAAUGUCUGAAUUUUGUAGAUUUUAAAGGAAUCAAAUGUGAGGCAUUUCACAAAAUUUUAAGAAUGGAGGAGGGAAAUAGGUGCUUCUACAAGAUUGAAGGGGUGCAAAUAAUGUGCAAAAGGGAAAUAUUACGAAAUUUUAAACUUAAUUAUACAAAUUUCGAGAACUUGACCAUAUGUAGCUCUCUAGCAUGGAUGUGAUGGCAGAUAUAUGCAUAACCUAGGCAUCCCUAUAGAGUCAAAUUAUGUCAAACAAGAACCACUGUAAGCAAUUGGAAUCAGGAGGAGAUCAUUUUUUGGCCUAAUUGUCCUUCCAAGUUUCUCAACCAUGUCAAAUUCUUCCGGUUUCAGAUCACCAGGGAGCUUCCAAUCAAAAUGGAACAACAACUGUGCAAGUACCAGCUCAAUAACUGCUUGAGAAAAUGAUAUGCCUGGACAAAUCCUUCUUCCAGCACCAAAUGGGAUGUAUUCAAAAUUAUUCCCUUUGUAAUCGAUUUCUGAAUCAAGAAAUCGCGAAGGAUUAAACUUCUCAGCUUCACUCCAGUAAUUGGAAUCUCUGCCAAUUGCCCAUGCAUUGACAAUUAUUUGUGCCUUUGCUGGUACGUCAUAACCAUUGAUUUUGCAUUCCUGACCACAUUCUCUUGGCAACAAAAGCGGAGCACUUGGGUGUAGUCUCAAGGUCUCUUUGAUGAUUGCAUGCAAGUAUUUGAGCUCAUGAAGGCGUGAUUCAUCAACAUUUCCUUUGACAUUGUAGAAAUUUCUCACCUCCUGUUGUGCCCUUUUCAUUAUUUCUGGGUUUUUAAUCAUCUCAGAAAUUGCCCACUCCAUGGCUGUUGAUGAAGUCUCACUACCAGCACUAAAAAUGUCCUGAAACACAUGAAUAUUAAUGGAAAUUACAUAUUCUACUCUCAGAUCUCUAAGUGAAUUCAUCAUCUGAUUUUAUCCCACAAAAAAAAAGAAAAAAACCAUCAUCUGAUGCUUGACUGAAAAAAAAAACCAUCAUCAGUGACAUUGGACUAUUUUAGAUUCCCUAAAUUUUGAUAAAUAAAUCUCGGCCGGCCUCUUGGACUGUGUGACAACCACAAAUAUGGUAUGUAUCUUCGCUGGAUUUAAUUGACUUUUGGUUUGGAUCCUUUACCUUCUUAAUCUUGAAUUUGACUAAUUCAAAUUGUUGAACUUAUUUAGAAUACUGCCACCCACUUCUUAAUUACAAUAACAUAUUACUUCCACAUCACCAAUUGGAUAUGCAUCAUACCGGUUUCCUUUUUUUUUUUGUUAAUUUUCUUUUUCUCUUCGUGGUUUCUCCUUAUUCUUGAGUUUGGUACCUGAAGGAUUGUUCAAUAUUGAUUUUUCAGCUAGUUAAGGAAGGUAUUCUGUUUGCAAAACCGGCAACCACUAUGUAUCAAUUCUAGUUUAGGAAAAAAGUUCAAACUUCACAUUAAUGCUGUUAAAAUUUGGCUAUCAAAGGUUAUCACAACUCACUAAUAUAGUUAUACUAUAUCCAAAAUCUUUGUCAUCCCCCAAAUUGGAGCAAUAAUUAAAUAAAUAAAAAAUACUGGAUUCAUAAUUUUUCCCUUUAAUCCUAGAAAGAACUACAGAAUUUUCUCUGAGGUGCAAAGCUCGAAAGAUUAGUGAGUUUGAGUUGUACUUACAAGGAUAACUGCUCUGAUGCUUGUAUCAGCCAGUUGAGGUUCAAAGUCUCCACGUUUCUGAAUAUUGAGAAGAACGUCAACAAGAUCUUCCUUGCCUUCUGCACCUUCUUGUUUUGCCUCUUUGAUUUUUCCUUUGUGCUCAUUGACAAUAUUUACAAGUAUUUCAUCAAUUUGCUUGUGUAGUUUUUCCACCUUAAAUCUCAGCGUACUCAUCAUUUGAAGCAACUUGAUUGAAGGAUACAUGUCAGCUAAGCUGAACUCUGAUGCCAUCCCAUUGAGUUCAUCUAUAAGUUGAAUGAAUCUUUCUGUCUCUAAAUCGUUUCUUAUUCCAAAUGCUGCCCGGCUGGUGAAGCUAUAAGUGAGAGAGACAAUGCUUCUGCUUAGAUUGAUGGUCGAUCCCUUCUGUAGAGAAAUUGAUUUAAUGAGAUUGAAUACCUCAUCUUCUCUGAUUGAUUUGAAACUUUGCACGCGUUUUUGACUAAGAAGUUCCAUGGUGCAGAUUUUUCGUAAUUGCCUCCAAUAAUUUCCAUAGGGAGAAAAUAUCAGAUCAGCAAAAUUAAAAGAAAAGAUCUUGAAUGCGAGACUCUGAGAGGGUCUUGAAGCAAAUAUGAUAUCGUUGGUUCUGUAGAUCUCUCUGGCCAUUUCCGGGGAAGUGACAACGAUAGUUGAAGUUUCACCAAGCUUUAGGUGCAUCAAUGCUCCAUAUUUCUUAGCUAAGUCUCUCAGCAAAUGAUGGAUUGGUGAGCCAAAAAGUUGAUGCAUGUUUCCUAUGAUAGGCAGUGGAUAAGGCCCGGGGGGAAGUUUCAACCUUGAAUGUUUUCCCAAGGGGUGCUUGAGAAAUUUGACUACCAUGAAACAGAAGAGCAGGGAAGCAAUAAGGAGAAGAAUGACCUCCAUUGAAGAUUAAAGCGAGUAAGGUGCAACUUUGGUGUUGUUUUUUGGGUGAUGUAUUGAUUUUAUAGAUGAUGAUAUAGAAAAAAAAUCGUUUGUUUGACAUUGUAGACCAGAAUAUUGGAAUCCAUUAGGGAUAUUCUCAAGGUAGUGCCCAAAUCUUCUUUAGUAUUUGUUUUUAGCCCAUGAUAUUUUGAAUAAUUACAAAUACUCUUAUAAGUUUUUAUUAUUUGUAUUUGCCUCCUUAAUUUCCUUAUUUCUUCAAAUAUGUCUCAAUAAAUUAGGCCCUGUUUGAUAAUCCAAUUCAGCACUUACAUUUAAUGGAUUUAAAUUUUAACAUAUUCAAACUGUUUGAUAACUAAAACUUGAGCAUCUGAAAAUUUAAUGGAUUCAAAUCUUAACAUAUUCAAACCGUUUGAUAAACAAAACUUAGGCAUCUGAAUUAAUUAAGUGGCACUGAAUUUUUUAGACAAAACUUUUGUCGCACCCUAUUUUUGAAAAUAAAAUAAAUAAAAAGGUGUUAAAAAAUGAAUUUUUUUGAUUUUAGAAAAAGGCAAAAAGGACCUAAAAUGGGAUUUAGAAAGUGCGACAGUUUAGAUCUAAAAUAAUAGUCUAACAAGUGCGAAAAUAAUUUUUAGAGUCUUUAAAUCUGUCGUUAGAAAAACUAAAAAUUUAGGAAGUUUACAUGAGGAAAAUGAAAACUCCAAAUCAUCUAGUGUCUGCUUGUGUUUCUGUUAGACAUACAAAACGGUAGAGAUUUUUUAAACAUAUCUCAGUCAAUUCACAUGAUCACGUGAGUUAUACAUGACUGAAUCAGGCACAAAAGGGGUUAUCCGACCCAAUUGCAGUUGAUUGCAAAUAAAGAGUAGGGCGUACAUUGGUUCGAUCGAACUCUCAGGAAGGCAAAGUGACAAAAGAGGUAACUUCGAUGGUAAGUUCAUUGCCCUGUCAAGGACUCAAGGUAGUUGAGUGGGAGUGGGAUAUCAAGAGUUCAAACUUUAUCUCCUAUUAGUUGUUAUUAUAAAUGGCUUGUCAUUUUAAAUGAUUUUUUCUAAAUUCAUACGGGUAUAGUGCAUCCAUCUAAACCGAUGGUGAUAGACCCAGUUGGACCCUCUGCUUAGAACAGAUUAGAGUAGGAGUAGGUGUAAAAUAGAUAAAUAACCAUCGACAAAAAUAAUAAUAAUAAUAAUAAUUUAACAAGGAGCAGAACUGUCACUCGCCGACAGGGCACGUGAGCUAAGAUCAAACAUAGGAAAUCAUCAAAACGAACAGCACACGACAGUCGACAAUUUGACAGAUGAGCCGCGCCCAUAUGACGUGGCAUAAGCCCAAUUAAAUGAGCCCCAACCCCGAAUAUUGUUUCAGUCCACGCUCCUUAGUCGACUCGUCAUCACCGCGUCGUCCUUGGCCCAUGUUCCCAACGGCUCACACCAUCCUCAAUAUUUUUUUUUAUUUUUUUAAUGCAGGUAUUAUUCAUUUAUUAUUGAACAAUCAAGAACAUUUUGUGAAGUUCUUAAACAUGUUAGGAGUGUCAAUUUAUUCAUUAGCACUAUGAUAUUAAUUUUAAAAAUUUUCUACACGCAUUUACAAAAAAUAAUUGAUGUUCCCCUCCCCCAAAAGUUAAAGAAAAAGAAGAGCAUCUUGACGAAAUUGACUAAAUACAUCAAUUUCUCUAGUAUCAUUUCUUUUCUUUUUUUUUUUACUUCUCAUGACAAAAAUUUAUAAGAUAAGGAAAACCCACAAAUUUGGAUUUCUGUGAACUUUUUCCGUAUAAAUUUUCUUGAUUUUGUUUCCUUAUUUUAAUAAGGAUUAAAGUUUCUUCAACCAGCUCAAGCAUGUGAUGAAUCAUCAAGCUCAGAAAGCAGCCACCACACUGCGCCCAAUUUUUGAAGGAAAAGAAGAUAAAGAAAAAUGAUCUAUGACAAGUUGACAAUAUAUGGCUAUGAGUUUGGUAUGAAAUUUUAAUUAAAACUUUUCGAACUGCCAACUAUAUAUAUUCAUGCCACCUUGUUACUUUCCAGUGGCAAUGAUAUCCUAAUGCCCCACUUAUCAAACAAAAAAGAAAAGUCAAAGAAUUCAUAAAUAUCCUCAUUAUUGUGGAAUUGUGAAAUUGCUUUGGACAAUUUAUUGCUUAGUCAAACUGGAAGAUCUGACCGAAAGUGCCUGAGGAAGGGAUUAUUUGGUUUAUAAUCUGUAACCGAAUGAUGUGAUCGGUUUUGUAGCUUGCAAGUCAAACCAAAAUGCAGUACUUGAAAGAACUUCAAUACAUGAUAAUCUUGACUAUGUCCUUUCAAAGAUUAAAGAUUGUCUCGCGUGAUACUUUGGUGGAGGAUGUGUGUGUGUGUGUGUGUGUUUUUUUUCGGUCGAGUGCUUUUGAAGCAUUUGUUAAUAUAUAUUUUAGAUGUUAUAUUUUUAAAAAAAUAAAAUUAAUUAGAAAAAGUAAAUAAAUAUAAGAGAGAAUAGAUAAUAUUAAAUAAGAAAAGUAAGGAUAAUAAUUGCUACUAGAUGUAUAUAUUGGUAGGUUAGGUGAAUGUUAAAUGUAUUAACGAAUAUUCUUGAGGACACCAGUUAGAAAAAUUCUUUUUUUUUUUUUGUGAAUUUAUUUAAGGAAGACUUUAAACCUUGCUAUAAUAAGGAAGGGAGAAAAAGUGAAGAGUUUGAAAAUCCAUACAGAUAUCUCAUAUUUAUCCAAAUAAUGUCCCUAUUAACUUAUAAGUUAGGUUUAGGGGAAGACCAGUUUGAGACAACACAUUAAGAUAGACUUCAUAUAUAAGACAACACACAUUAAUACAAUACAUUAUAAGCUUUAUGAUUCAUAAGUACUUAUAUUUGAAUUAUGAUGCAGAAAAUGCCGACUUCAAUGCAUUCAAAAGAUUAAUUUUAGUACCUAAGAUAGACUUCAUACAUGAGAUGACACAUCAAUACAAUACAUCAAUAGCCUGUAAACAUUUUCACCAAAGGAAGAUAUUUCUUGCAUUUUUAUAUUCCCAGGAGCACAUAGGAUUCAUUCCUGAAAAAAAUUAGUGGAACGAACCAAUAAAAUCACAUAUCUACAGAUAUGGCGAAGUGGGGAACAAUCACAUGUUCCCACUAAAUUACGAUGACUUUUCUUAUCCAGAAGUAGAUUAAAAUAGCAAAGGGGAUUAUAAUCUUUCUGUGGCAAGGCCCUUUCAUCUUCGAUCCAUUUUUUGAUGACGAUAUGGUAGGGAUAUCAAAAUCUAUUGUACAACUUUUAGAUUGACUUUUUUCUGUUGCUUGUUGCCUUUAAGAAACAGUAAUCUUGUUUUAUAGGCCCCUUUUUCCGUCUUUUACUUUGUUGAGUUGUUCCACCUCUUUGUGGACGUAAAGAUAACUCCAAGGAGAUCAAAUAGCAAGUAAUUCAAGUUUGUACCAUAAAAAUUGUGUUUAUGUGUGUAAUGCAUAUCGUUGGAUGUUUUUUGCUCUUCUUGUCUAAGGAGAAUUGUACUCUAAUUGUAUAUUUUACCCAAGAAUUUCUUGUAUGACCCUUUUAAAUUGACAAAUAUUCUCAAUGAAAUUAAUGCCAUAUUGCAGCACUUUUCUUAUUAAAAAAAUAAUCCAUUUAUCAAAAAAAAUGACAAAUAUUCUUUUUCGACCAUAGAGUGCAAAGCUUUUUGAUUAUUUACCAAGAACAAGAUGUAGGUACAAUGCAUUUUUUAUUUGAGUUUUAACUUGCUUAGCAAAUUCCAAAUAAUCUACCAACAUGUAAUUUCAUCUAUUCCAAGAAUAACUCGUCUAAAAUAACGUAUAUAGAGCUUUUUGUGUUCUUUUGCAGGAAAAAGCCAUAAAAAUUGUGAUUCAUCAAUUUGGGCUUUGACUUAUGCUUGCAAUGAAUGUAAGACAUAAAGUAUAGAAGAUUUGCAGACUUUAAUACCUAGAUCAUGCUGUGGAUUCAUUUGAGGGAGUUGAGUUCAUUAUUUAGACAUAUACAUGAGCAUAAUUAAUUUCUUUCUUUUGUUUUUGUGGAAGGGGUGCGAGGAGAUGUCAAGUCCUUUUCAUGGACCUGGCUGCUCUGACUUAAGCCUCAACUUGUCUCGUAUGAUUGUUUGAUACACAAAAUGUUUUAUUUGUACAAGUUGCUAACUUGAUGACACCCAAAUCCUUUUGUGAAUCUUAUCCAUCGUGAUAGAAAGAGAGGAGAAAAACAACCUUAAUUGCUUUGUCCCAUGUGUAUUUUUCAAAAUAAAAAAAGAUGCUUAGGUUUUCAAUUCUUUUCAUGCAUAUAAAAAACAAAAGCACGAUAGGAGUGAUGAUAAAGACUCUAACCUGACAGGUGUGAGAAAUUAAGAUUCGUGACUUAAUUUUUCUUUUUAUAGAGGGGUAAUAGCGUGUUAAUGUUAAAAAGUCAUACUCGUCCAUUUUCCAUAUUCAAAGGAUGACUCUCCUAAUCUAAACAAGCAAAUGGACUAAAUGAUCUACAUGAAAUGCAAGUAUAAAUGAUAUGAUCCAAACAUAUAAAGGGAAGGGAAUAAUAGUAGGGAAAAUAUCAUGCAAAUAAAAACAACCUAAAAAUAAGAAAAAAUGUAUGAGAUGCAAUAAAUGUCACAUAAGGUAUGAAUCUAGCGCGAAAACGGGUUAAAGGGUCUAGUAUUGAACUAACCCAUUUCUACAAGUCCCCACUAAUGUUGGACUAGUGAGAAAUCAGGAAGAAAAACCACGACUAGUAUUGAACUAGUGUAGUAACAUCAUGUACUCAUUAUAAAUAAAUAAAGCAUAUAAAAUAUAAUUAAAACAAAUAAACACAUAAAACAUAUAGAGUAUGUAGAGCACAUAUUACACAGGGAUAAUAUCUAGAUGCAAGACCAUAAAGAAAGCGAAUGAACACAAGCACACAAGCAUACAAGCAUACAAGCAAAAAAAAAAAAAACUAAUUAUUACAUUGGGGAGCGCUAACUACAAUCUAGAAGGAGAAUUUUUAGAAAUAAUAAACCUAUCUUUUACAUUUGUCUAUCUAAAUACCUUUUCUUCGAGCAAAAGAAAAAGACCUAUCUAUUACAACUUAACAUUUAAAUGCCUUCCAAAUAAUCAUCAAAACUUAAAUAAACAAAAUAAAUGAAAGCUAAAAAAAUGAAUAAAAUAAAAUAAAACAGAAAAACACUUAAAACAUGCAAUCACACAUAUGAAAACAUAUAGGAGCACAUAAAAAAACUUAAAAUUAAUAAAGAGAACCUCCCUUGAAUUAAUGAAUAGAUGAGGUAGAGUUUGCCUUAUUUAUACUCCAAAAUCAACAAAAUAGUCAAGGCACCAAUUUAAUUAAUAAUUUAAAAGAAAGUGUAAACAUAUAGCAAAUUCAUUCUAUUUUUUAAAAAAAAAAUAUGAAUAAACAUAAAAUUUUUAAAUUUUACUAAUUAAAUGCAUUUAAAUGAAGCAUAAUUAGCAAUUAAAUGAGAUAAACAGUUGUAGUUCAUAAAUGAUAAAGAUCAGGAACCUAAUUACAAAAAUUAAAAAUUUUUAGGGUCAAAUUAUAAUUCUAGAAAAAUUAGGGGUUAAAAUUUAAUAAAAGUAAAGUUUAGGGACCAAAUGCAAUUAAAUUGAGGAUCUAAGUGAAAGAAAUCUAAAAUUUUAGAGCCACAGAGAAAUUACUCAAAAGAUUAGGGGCCUAAUUGUAAACAUUCGUUUUCUUGGGCCAUUGUUAUAUUUAUUUUGGGCCAUAAAUUCCUUCUGCCCAAGCAAAAACUGGAUCUCUUUUAUUUAAAAGAAAAAAAAUGAAUCAACUCAUUUGAAUUUGUUAAGUGUCUGCUUAGAUGCCAUAUCAAGACCAUAAUUUACUCUUUGAAGGUAUUCCCGAAUACAACAGCCUCUCUCCUUUGGGCCUUCAACAGUUCAAGGGACUUUUAUCACAAGAACAACUUAUGGCAAAGCUAUGGACAUCUAAACAAUCACGCAGUUAUGAGGAUCUCUCGGCCUUCCCUGGUGAAACUAAAAACUUAGAAUUCCAUAGGGAUAGAAGCAAACUUGGAAUUUUAUUGAUCUUUUCCUCGAUGAUCCCUUACAAUGAAAACUGGCCUCUAUUUAUAGAAAUAGAAUUUGGCCCUUCAGGAUAAACGACCCUUCGGAAAAGUAAACAACAAACGACUCUUCGGAAAAGUAAACAGCAAACGACUUUUCGGAAAAGUAAAUAACAAACGACUCUUCUACAGGGAUUCUUCCAUAUCAACAUCAUUCCAGGCCCACUGGUAAUCAUCAUCGGGGGUAUCUGAUGGUGUGGUAGCUGGAUCUGUAAUGUUAAGCAUUUCAAUGUGAUGUUGAUGUGUCUGUGCAUUCCUCCUUCUAUUCUCGAUGCUUUUCCAUUCUGUUCUAUUUUUGAAUUUAUAGGAAGAAACUGUUGAGGAUGAUGGAAAAUCCUGUGAUGAUCCUGUGUUAUGAUAAGGGUCUUGGGAAUCUUGCAUUACAGUAUCAUUCAUUUUGUCCUGAUACUCCUUCUUUGCUCUUUUGAUUCUGGUCCAAUGAGGAUGACUUGAGUGGUAGUUCCACGAUCCAUAGUGACCAGGCCAUAUUUCAGGAGGAAUGCAUCUGUUUUCCUGAAAUAUGUAUCUCUGUGCUUCCUCAUACUCAUCAUCAAGGUCUAAAAUAGUAUGAUCUAUUUCUUUAUAAAUUACUGCACUUGGACAGGAUUGGACUUGGUUAUUUUGCAGAUUGCAAGGUCUAUGGAAAUGGAAAAUAACAUAUUUAGACUGAGUUGAAAAUAAUCCAGACCAAUAUGUUAAUGGUCGAAACCAUUGCAGGAAAACUUGAAGGUUUGGAUUUAAUGGCUGAUUAAAGAAAGGUGAUUGAAAUUCCAUAAGAAUAUGAUAUUGAUGGCAAAGACACCAAAAAUACCAUAACAACGAUUUUGGAAAAUCAUCAUGUCUGGCAAUGAAAAUUUGACAGAAAGGAUAUUCAUGAUUAGUUCCAAAGGGAUUUAAGAUUGAUCCUCCAUAUGAACUGAAUAUUUCAAAUUCAUAUUGAUUUCGGAUUCUUUCAAUAUCCUCCUUUUCCCAUGGAUGAGGAAUUUGGUGAAUAUCUGGGGAUUCAGAACAAACAGGUGAGAACAUGAAACAAGGUUGGUCUUGUUGAAGCAAAGGUUCUUUCCUUGAGAAGAAAUUAGCAACAAUGUUCUUUUUCCCUUUUAUGUUUUUGACAUCAAAAGAAUAUUGGGAAAACCAUGCUGACCAUCUAAGUAACUGAGGAUUAGGGACAGUGUUUUGUUUGAAGUGCAGCAUUUUAGGAAAUGACCCCAUAUCCAUUUCAACCAAGAAAUGAUGGGAUAUAAGGAAAAAAGAGAAUUUCUUUAUACCAUUCUUGACUGCAAGGAUUUCUUUGAAUGUGGAAUGAUAAUGUUGUUCGGAAACUUUGAAUUUUCCACUAGCAAAUCCACAACAAUGCUUUGUUCCCUGUUCAUCUUCUUCAAGUAGUACAGCUCCCCAAUAUUUAUCACUGGCAUCUGUUUGUAAGAUCUUUUUCCUAUCUGAUGGAAUAUGAAGUGUAGGAAGAUCUUGGAGUGCCUUCUUGAGGAUUUGGAUUGCUUGGGUUUGUGAAACACCCCAUGGUGGAGGUUUCUUUUUAAGCAUUUUAGUCAAAGGACUAAUGUGCUUAGAAACUUUGGGAAUAAAUUCCCGGACAUAGUUAACAACACCAAGAAAUUGUUGGACCUGGGUUUUGGAAAGAUUUUCUUCAGGGAAAUCCUUAAUGGAUUGUCCAACAUGCUGUUCAGGAGUGCAUUUUCCUUUAGCAAUUUUCAUGCCUAGGAAUGAAAUUUCUUGCUGAGCUAAAAACAUUUUCUUUUCAGAAAGCAUUAUCCCAUAUUGCUUAACAAGAUGAUGAAAAUCUUUAAGCAACUCAAGAUGUUCUUCAAAUGUUUUACUGAAAAGAAGAAUAUCAUCAAUGUAAAUAAGUGCGGAAUGUAAGAUAGGCUGAAAUAUCCUUAUCAUCGCUUUUUGAAAGAGAGAAGGUGCAGUUUUUAAACCAAAAGGCAUCACCUUCCAUUGGAAAUGAUGAUUUGGGAUACAAAAUCCAGUUUUAUGCCUAUCCUCAGGAUGAAUUCCCAACUGUCAGAAUCCAGAUUUUAAAUCAAAUUUAGAAAACCAGGUGGCCUUGGAUAUCUGGGAAAAAAUAGUAAAUCUGUUGGGUAUUGGAAACUUAUCAUCAAGCAGGAAAAUAUUAAGAGGCUGGUAAUUGAUUACCAAUCUCAUUUUUCCCCUUACCUGUUCAGAUCUUUUGUUGACAUAAAAUGCUUGGCAUGCCCAUUGAGAAUGAGAAAUCUCAAUUAGUCCAAACUUCAAAAGUUCUUGGCAUUCUUGUUCUGCAAGCUUUGUGUCAUUAGCAUUCAUUCCAGAAUGACUAGCUUUUGUGGGAUUGAUAUCCUCAUUUUUCUUAAAAUGUAGGCGGAUAAAAAACUCAGAAUUUUCCCACAAAGGAUGAUCACAUUUUUGUAAAAACUCUUGAUGAUUUGUUGAGCAUGAUUCUUGAAUGAUCUGCUUUUGAAACUGCUGGAGUUGAUCCAUUUGAACAUUUUCUUCUUGUAUCAAAUACAGCUUUGGGAUUUCAAUAAAAGGUUUAAAAAACUUAUUUGAUUUUAUCCCAUUUCCUGUAAUAAGAUACUUGUUUUGUUUGUAAAGAUCAAAUCCUAACAACAAGUCCUUACCAGUAAAAUUUGCUCCCAGAAAUUUUGAACUUAUAUAGCAAUCAGGGAGAAGUUUGAGAGUGAUGGGAUUUUUUGUUACAAAUCUUGUUUCAAAGAGAUUUCCAUCAGCUCCUCUAAACUUGUUUACUUCUGGAAUCCAAUAUGAGUCUGGUAAGAUAUCUUUCCUCAUAAUGGAAGUAUGGGUUCCUGUAUCAAAAAAUGCAAUAAGAGGUAUAGGUUUAGAAUAUUUAUCCAACAAGAUAUGAAUAAGAGUUUGUGGAUAAACUUCCUCUUCUUUUUCCCCUUUAUUUGUCAUAGCAAUAGGCCCAAUACUUAAAAUUUCUUCAGGGACCUGUAAAGCCAAUAGAGUAGUGUCAGUAGGCUCCUCUUGUUCAGAAAAUUCAGAUUCUAAAUCAGAUAUGGAAAAAUGAAGCUCAUUUUGAAUUUCUGAAAUUAAUUUUACUCCCUUCUGAUUCUGAGGACAAUUUUUUGCAAAAUGUCCAGGCUUUCCACAGAUAAAACAUUUGUUGCCUGUUGUGCCUCUGAACCUUUUAGACUUUCGUCUAAAAUAUCUCCAUUUCUUUCUGAAAGAUUUUCUUGGAAAAUUCUUAUAGGCCUUGGUAAAGCUUUUGAACUUUUUGAAUCUUCUGGAUCCUUUUCUUCUCUGGGAUGGAGUACAGGCUUGGCACUUUCCCUUAGUUAUUAGCUCUGGCUUUUUGUAGGCUUGGUCCAAACAAACAUCUCCUUUUAGAUAUUCACGAAUAACUUUCCUCUUAUGACAAAGGUCAUCAAGAGAUAGGAAAACUGCUUGUUUGAUUUGGCCAAUGGUGAGAUUUAAAACUGAUCCAUACUUAUUAUGGAUAUACAUUUCUGCACCAUCUGCAAGUGGCUUGGGAAGGGAACUGAUAAACGGCUGUUUGAGAUUAAUAUCUGCACCAAGAGAGUAGAAUAAUUUAAUCAUUUUUUAAAAAUGUUUAUUUAGAUCUCGUCGAUCAUAAGAUAAACAUUUUAUUUGAAAGAAUUCUUUUCUUUUUGCUUCCUGGAAUUCUCGGACAUUGCCAAGAAAUGUGAGAUGAAGAAUAUGAAUAUUUUCCAGGAAAUCUUGUUUGGUUAAAAAGAGCAUUUUAUCUGCAUCUCCAAUGGUUGUCCACCAAUCCUUGAGGAUUCCAGCCAGAUGAGCUGUAAAAAUUGAUAAAAUUUCAAAGUGAGAUUCUUCUGUUAAAUUUUGGGCAAGCAUCCAAGCAUGGAAUUCAUGGAACCUUGCUUCCCAUUUUUCAGGUGGAAUAUUAUCAAUUGUAAACAGAGGUACUCCCUUUGAUUUUGGAAAAGUAGCUCGCUGGGUUCGAUCAAAUGAUGUUUCUCCCUCCUCCUCAUUUUCAUCAGGCUCAACCACUUCUGGUUCUGGAUCUGCCAUAUGAAUGUGAGGGGUACUUUCUUCGUCGGAUGAGGAUUCUGAAGUAUCAGUUGUUGAUAUUGUAUCAUCAUCUGAAGAAUUAGAAAGACUGCUUUUUUCGGAGCCUGUAUCUUUAGAGGAGUUAUCAUGAAAUUCAGUAUAGGUUGAAAUAUAUGGAACUGAAUCUUCAUGAAGUUCAUCUAGCACUGUUGACAAGGGAUUAUCAUAUACCCUAGUAGCUUCAUUUGCUUUCCUUUCCUGUUCAACAGAAAAAGUUGGAUUAGUAUAGGUACUAAACAUUAAUGAAGCCGGAGGUUCUUGUUGAGAAGAUGAUGGCUGUUCAAUGGCAGAUUUUUUGGCUUUUCUUUCCCUUUCAGUUUCAGCCUUUCUCUGUUCUUUUUCAGCCAUUUUCUUUGCUAUUUCAGCAUCCUUUUGAAUUUGUUUAUUUUUACGAUAUUCUCGUAAAGUUGCUGCAAUAUCAAAAGGUUUGGUAACCUGUGGCUGUGGUGUUGAAAAGUAAAGAGAUGGUGAUGGAGUUGUAACUUCAACGAAAUAGAAAGGUGUCGGCCAAUUUUGAAGUGGUACUGCACCAUACAUGGGACCUACCUUAAAAAGAGGUGUGGAAGACCCUACCUCAUAUGUAGGAACUUGACCUGUGGUUUUCAAGACAUGUAGCUGAUUUUGGAUAAACUUUGUUUCUUUUUCUCUGUUGAGAAUAAAAUCAGCUAGAGUAGAUGGAUCAGAGGGCAAGAUGUACUUAAGCUCUUGAAGUCUUUUUUCAAAAACUUCAAUCAUGUGAGACACCUGAGAUUGCUGAGUUGAGACCGUAGUAUCAAUUUGUUCAAUCUUGUCUUUGGCCUCUGAGAUGUUCUUAUGAAUGGAUAUAAGGGCAGUGUUUUGAACAAGAGAGUUCUCAGUUUGCCAAUUUAGAACAUCUUCUGUAGGAUUUGGUCGAACAGUUUCUCCACUUGGUAAAACUGUUGAAGAAGUAUUUUGGAUUUUUGGAGUGUGUCUAGCACCAUUCUUAUUGAAAGUUUCCAACUUUGGAAAAUCUGCUUCACUGAACAUAAAGCAUUCUUGAACAUGAGAAGUUGGAAUUGGUUCAGAUUUACAGAAUGGUUGAAGAGUCCAUUCCUUUUUGGCUUCUUGUGCUUCUUUGUCCAAAAUAUCAAGACACUUUUGGUAAUAAGGAUGAAGAUCCUUUUUUGAAUAUGAAUUAGGUGUCUGAGAAAUUUUUGAAAUCCAAACAGAAGGAAUUUGAUAACCAUUAAACUGGCUUCUUUGAGAUGAAAAAGUAUCAGUGUCUGGAUCUCGUGGAUCCAAGUCUGGUUUGCAGGGUCGGGGUUCAACUUGUUUUGAUUUUGAUUUUUUCUUACAAGAUAAACUGGUAAGUCAAAACCAAGAAUAUUUUCAAGUUGACAGGAGUCACAAAUGGUGCAAACAUCAAAAUAGAUAUGACCUGAGAUAGGAUCCUGAAACCAUGAUACUGGGAGUCCUUCAUUAUCAAAAUAUUUGAUAAUAUCUUGACUUCGAUGGACCUGCCGAAGAUUCUCAGGAUGAUCAUCAUGUAUGUCCCAUUGUUCUUCAAAUUUUGAGGGAUAAUACAUAGGUACCUGUGCACACAUAAUAGAAGGAUGAGAUUUUGUAAUCAAAUCUUUAAAAUGAGAAUGAUCAAAUGAAAUUGAUGUUCUCCCUUCUUUGGUAUAAGAUAUCCUUGAAUUUGAGGAUUCAAGGGGUUCAUUUCUUUGAGCAUGCAAAUCUUCAUAGUCUGUAACCCAGUCAUUUGGUAAUAACUGGAUUAAAUCUUGCUUUGAAAUUUGCUGGGGAACAUGAGUACAAGAGGCACCAUUCUUCUCAUCAACUCUUAUUAAAAGAGCAUUUUCUCCUCCUGGAAUGGCCAGAUCAAGGGCAUGAUUCUGAACACGAUAGACCAUCUGGUAAUGGAGGGUUGCUGCGAUGGCGUCUGACACUUGUUCUGCACCAAUAAUUUGUACCUAUACUUUAAGAGCUUCAAGCAGAUGAGGAUCUGCUAGGGACAUGUUAAAAUUUGGGAAAAGGGUGACAAAAACAGUUCCAGCAUUUAAUGUGGUUUCAGUUGUUGCAAUACAAGCAUGCUGGUAUUGUUUGAAUCUGGUAUCCAAUAGUGCUAGUCGAGCAACUAUUGGGAGUCCUUUCCUCCCAUGAAAUGAUAGGGAAAUCCUGAUAGCUCCAAAGUGUAUAUGGGUAUAACCUUGCUGUUUCCAUUGCAUAGGGAAAUCAUUCGGAAUAUGCAAAGUUAUAAACUGUUCUUUCCUGGUAGCAGGAAUUGGAUGUUGAUCAACUUUUGAUGCCUGAAUGUAUUCUUUAACUCCUUUAGGAUGUGAUCUUAUUAAGGAUUUAAUAACACAAGUAGGAGAAAAAGAUUGUUUACCCAUACAAACCCAUAUACAAAAAGUGUAUAUGGGUUUGUAUCAAAACCCAUAUACAAACCCAAACAAAAAUAAAUUUUUGGCCCGGUUUCUAAAUCCAAAACACACCCAAUUUAUACCCUAAUGGAUCAAACAUAAUAAAACAAAACAAAACUAAUUGGAGCAAAAAUAAAAGAGAAAACAUCAAGAAUUUUUCGGCGGAUAUGAGGUUUCCGACGGGGGUCGACCUUACGGAAACUAGAAAAAUUCCAACCAAAUAAGUCGGAAUCUCGCCGGAACUGCUUUUUGGGUAAUUUUGAACCCGAAUUUUUCCAGAUACAUGAAGUUCAUGGCAUUAUGGACUCACCCAAAUAUCAAACAAGGUCCAAGAAACUAAAUAAUCAUGCCAAAAUGAGAAUUCAAGUUUCUUGAACACAAGCUUCUAUGAACACAUCCCAAUCUCUUGCAUAAACAUCCAAUCACACAGGAAAAGGUUGAGGAAAUACGUGAGGGUGUUUUCGGACUGGAUUGAAGCCAGAAAACACGAAUGGAAGCGGGUUUGAAGGAGCUUUCAACGUAAUUGCGGAAGACACAAUGAUGGCGUGGCAGCAAGUUUGAGGCCAAAUUAGAAGGGUUUUUGGUCGUGUUUUCCAAUAGAUUUCUAAACCAAACUUUCUCUCCCAACUUCGUACAUUGUGCAGAAAUUGAAAACUCUUCAAACGAAGUUAUAUUGAAGGAGAAAAUUCGGUUGCAAGAGGGUUGCAGAACCAGCCUUUUCUGCAAAAAUUUUUACCAGGAAAUUUUUCUUUUCGUUCUUCUGUUUUCCUUUCUUUUUCUUCGCUCUUUCUUUCUAUUAUUAUCUGCCACUUCCUCAACACUAAAGCUGCGUUCUUUGCUACUUAAAUGAGAUCAAGAAAACCUCAAAGCUAAAAUGAAUGGUUGGGAUCAAAAAAGAGAAAAAAUGGGUUCAUGUGACAUGUUUUUUUAUCCAUUUUGAUGAUUUUUGACAGCUGCCUCUUGCUAGAUUUUUUGAUGAUUAGUGUCCAAGUAACUUGCUAAACUUGGAGGGAAAGAGACAAGAAGUAACAACGAAUUUUGGUUGCCUCAAAACCAGAUUUCCAUAGCCUUCUCUGGUUUCUGCGUUGCUACAAAAUUUUGAGGAAGAAAACCGCACGUGCGUGUAGCAGCAAAAAUUAUUAUUAUUUUUUUUUUUUAAAAUGAAACUGGGCCAAAGAGCCUCUCUUGUUUUUUUCUUCUAAGCCUUUUGAUAGAUUCUGCCUUGGGCUUUUGGUGUUUCGGCUUGGGUUUUGGGAAAAGUUUUGAUUGGAUUUUUUUUUUCUUUUGGAUUGGGCUAAAAAUGAAUAAUGUUUUAAAAUUUCAUUUCCUCGUCUUUUUCCUACAAAUUAACACAAGAUAAAAAAAAUAGAAUAAAAUAAAUGAUGAAAAUAAAGAUACAAUAAAAUUAACAAAAUCUUUGAAAAAAAUUUGGUGUCUACAGCUUGUUUCUAAAAUUAAGUGAUAAGUUAUUCACUUAUCACUGAAUGUGAUAUGCACUCAAAUCUAUUAGAUUUAAUAUAUAACAAUUCAAUAAUUUAAUGGAUUCAGAUUUCAUAUUUCAGAUUUUAUAUUUUAGUUUUAUCAAACAUACUCUUAGUUGUAGAGUCACAAAUACGUAUUUGAAGUUUUAAAAGUACCUAAAUUACAAUUAAAUUUGAAAGGUUUUGAAUCAUACAAUGUUGUCAAAAGCAAUGAAGACACAAAAGGGAUAUUUGUCAUCAUAUUAGUAAAUAUUUAUUUUCUAUGUUAACUAACUAACAUAUCAUAGUAGUCUCUUGUUGGACCAGAAAAAAUCAUGUUUUACUGAUUAAAGAUCAGAAAACUACAUAUAGAGGUGAUGGCAUUGCUCGUAUUCAUGGUCAUGAUGAAAUAAUAACAUGUGAAUUAUUUGAAUUUGAAGAUGAGACAAUAGGCAUUCUCUGCAAACCAAAUAAUAUUAGUGUUGUAUUAAUGGUUGAUGGACUAAAUGAUUUAAUUAUACAAGAAGGAAGUUUUGUAAAAGCAGUAGGAAGAAUUCAUGUGCCAGUGAGUGAGCCCUAUUUGGAGCUGCCAGCGGGUCCGAAAUAAAAUCAUGUUCGACAAAUUCAAUAAUAAGAAACUGAAAAAGAAUGGCCUUUUUAUAUACAAGGAAACAAAAGUGACAAUUAAAUUAAUGGAAUAAUUUUAGAAACCUACCUCUCUUGAUUUGAUAAUUUUAACGACCAAUCCUUAAAAUAAUAUUAACUUGGUAAAAUUUUUAAAUAAUUACCUUAAAAUGCUCCAUGUAAUGAGUUUAAUUUACUUCCCUAUAUAAUUGUAAGAUUAUCUAGGACAAUUAUAAGAAAAAUAUGCCAAAUUUUUCAUAACCAUAGCUACUAUUUGAUAAACAACUAAAAUAAUAAUUUUAUCACUAUGACAGGAUACUUUUGAUGGUAUUUUAUUGUGGAUUUAGAUUUAUAGGAUAAAGAAGAAAGUGUUGAAAUAAUUCUUUUAGAAUUUAUGAAUUUUUCAAGUAGUAGGAUUACCAUAGUUUAGUAAUAAUUUUGGGUCAUUUGUAUUUUUAUUUAUUAUUGAUUUUGAUAUCCAGAAAAAUAGAAAACAAAUAUUAGCAAAAACAUUGAAUUACAUGUAGAUUUAACUCAUCAAAAAAUCACUAUCUCGAUAUUUGGUUACGACAGAAGUUAGAAACAAUAGUGGUAGUUCUAUAGAUUUGUUGGCGAAAAAUAAAAAAGAGGAAUAAGGAGGAAAAAGAAUGAAAAAAUAAUUUUAAAACUCAUUCUGGGUAUAAGUGUACCAAAGAAGGAAGUUUUAUUAAAAUAUUUAAGGAUAGUAUUGUUAUUUUAAAUGGUAAGAAAGAUAUGUGUAAUUUUUAAAUUUUCAAAGGAACUAAGAGAAAUUGUCAAAAAUUUUAAGGGAGGCUUCCUAAUUUAUCACUAAAUUAAUUCAUGCUCCAUGGAGCGUGACGAGUGUUCAGGGCAAAAAUUCAUUUUAUUAUUAUUGGGUAAAUUCAGGCCCAAAAUUCUUUGAUGUCGGUGUCAGCCUACUGUUUCUCCUCUUUCGGUUUCUUUUUCAUGCUCAAUCUUUUCUUUGAUGUCGGUGCCAAACAAGGCCAAAAUUCUACGCUGCAAACGAUGACUGCGGCCCAUAACUCGUCAUCCUUUGAUCGGUCGAAUGGGAAGCACGACUUUUCUGCAUACGAAACAAAAAGAGAGAUGUAACUCAUCCACCAAAACAAAGAUGAAGGAUAUUACGACCUAAUCUGAGUAUGGACUAGAGAUGUGAUCUGAUUUACGCUUCUUUUUCUGUAAAAAAAUUUUCACUAGAAUUAUCACUAACAUUAAUUAACUUCCUAGUAAAGUCUUUUCAUAGUGUUUCAGUCUUUAAAAGAAAAUCUAACCUUCAUGCAAAAAAAAAGGUGGGAAACUGAGAAUGAAGACUUCAAUUUAUAUAUCUAGUCAUUCUUUGAUUGGUUAAAUGGGAGAUAUACCAUCUUUCUGCAGAAGGAAACAAUAAGGAGUGAUGCUAACUUAUCCUCGGAACAGAUGAUAAAGGACGUUUGACAAUUUGACGCCAUUCUAUCUCUGGUGCAGACUGCAGCCGGGGAUCUGAUUUAAAUUCUUUCCUGUGCGUAAUUUGCCCACCAAGAAAAUAAGAAAAAAUGGUGAGACUAAAAGUAUCGCUAACAUCUUAGUAUAAAUUCACGUAGUGGGGCGACCAUUGUUGAGGCAGGAACAUGGCAGUUUUAGAGUACAGAAAGUUUCUAAAAAAGCUUUACUUUAUGUACAUCAUCAAGGUAAAGUUCUACAGUUUCAUAUACGGGAUGACAAGUAUUAGCAUAAUUCCCAGGCAACCCUGUAAAGUCUAGUUAUCCUUAAUCAAGCAAGAACCAGGGUAAGGAAUUGGAAUCAAGUGGAGAUCAUUUUUGCGCCUAAUUGUCACGCCAAGGUUAUCAGCCAUGUCCAAUUCUUCUGGUUUCAGAU
rnacentral:lncRNA from 1 species